GGUCCGGUGGCCUAGUGGUUACAGCGACCGCAUCGGAUGCGGGAGGUCACUGGUUCGAACCCCCGCCGAGCCA